rnacentral:rRNA from 1 species
GACGUAGGGGGCCAGCGUUGCUCGGAAUUACUGGGCGUAAAGGGUUCGUAGGCGGUGCGGCAAGUCGGGAGUGAAAUCUCUGGGCUUAACUCAGGGGCUACUUCCGAAACUGCCGUGCUUGAGUGCGGGAGAGGCGAGUGGAAUUGCAGGUGUAGCGGUGAAAUGCGUAGAUAUCUGCAGGAACACCCGUGGCGAAGGCGGCUCGCUGGACCGCAACUGACGCUGAGACACGAAAGCCAGGGGAGCGAACGGG